UUUUGCGGUUGUUAUAAUUGUAGCGAUUUGAAGUUUUGUUCUAACCCUAUUUUUAAUUUCUGUUGACUCGUUGACGGGAUAUUAUACUUUCGAGUUUGGGUAAGGAAAUUUCAGCAUAUAAAUGUUGGCUCGAUGAAAGACAAAAUUGGAGCCGCCGCGUCCUCGCACAUCCUUGACACUAACACAAUAUAUAUAUAUAUAUAUAUAUAUAUAUAUGUAUCUAUUUACAAAAUAUCGUUCUCCUGUCAUAACUUUAUAGGAUGUGUAAGAGACUAAAAGCAAUGGUGUAACUGGAUGGAAAUCUAAGGGCGCAAAAUAACUUAUCCACCGUAAUAAAAAUCCUGAGACCCCCCCCUCGAUUUAAAUAUAUUUUAGAUUCUGAAUGGAGUGAAGAACUUGUUGGUUUUACAAUAAUGUUUAUUUUUUAUCCCGUUUUUUCUUUUCAUUUUUUUUUUUUGUGUGUGAAUAACUUUUCUACCAGACAUUUCGCUUUGAUUUUCAAGUGUAGCAUUUUUUCUGAAAGGAAAUUUGGCUGGAGUAGCACUUAAGCGAGGUAAUGCGUUGGUUUUCCCAGGGGUUAACAUAAAAAAUGGGAAAACCGAGAAAAAACGUAGGAAAAACAGGAAAAUUUACGAAAUUUAUUAUUAUUAAAUUGUGAGUAUUACGGCCUUUCAAAAUAUGUACAGCCGAACGCCACUCAGAAUCGUUCUCCAUUAGCAAUUAUUAACCGUUAUCUACAAAUAAACAUUCAAUUUCCUCUCUACCUUCAAACUUCUUACUUCAAUGGCUCACCCAUCGUGCGAAGUAUGUUCGUUUGUUUUUAUUGUAUGCGUUGUAUACGGUACAUUUAAUUGUUUUUACACAAAUGUUUAAACUAAUUUUGUGGUUUAGAAAUAAAUUGUAGGUAGCAGCUACUAAGUACCAAUAUCGUUAAAUAAUAUUAAGUAGGAACCUAUACGAGAGUUUAUUAAUAAAAAGAUGCUAUA